rnacentral:rRNA from 1 species
UAGGGAAUCUUCGGCAAUGGGGGGAACCCUGACCGAGCAACGCCGCGUGAGUGAAGAAGGUUUUCGGAUCGUAAAGCUCUGUUGUUAAGGAAGAACGAGUGUGAGAAUGGAAAGUUCAUACUGUGACGGUACUUAACCAGAAAGGGACGGCUAACUACGUGCCAGCAGCCGCGGUAAUACGUAGGUCCCGAGCGUUGUCCGGAUUUAUUGGGCGUAAAGCGAGCGCAGGCGGUUAGAUAAGUCUGAAGUUAAAGGCAGUGGCUCAACCAUUGUAGGCUUUGGAAACUGUUUAACUUGAGGGCAGAAGUGGAGAGUGGAAUUCCAUGUGUAGCGGUGAAAUGCGUAGAUAUAUGGAGGAACACCGGUGGCGAAAGCGGCUCUCUGGUCUGUAACUGACGCUGAGGCUCGAAAGCGUGGGGAGCGAACAGG